UACCAGCUCUCCGAGUGGUAGGGAUGUUUAUUGGGCUUAAAGCGUCCGUAGCCGGCUUAGCAAGUCUCCUGUUAAAUUCAGCGACCUAAUCGUUGAGCCGCGGGAGAUACUACUAGGCUAGGAGGCGGGAGAGGUCAACGGUACUUCCGGGGUAGGGGUGAAAUCCUGUAAUCCCGGGAGGACCACCAGUGGCGAAGGCUGUUGACUAGAACGCGCUCGACGGUGAGGGACGAAAGCUGGGGGGAGCGAACCGGAUUAGAUACCCGGGUAGUCCCAGCUGUAAACGAUGCGAGCUAGGUGUUGGGGUGGCUACGUGCCACUUCAGUGCCGCAGGGAAGCCAUUAAGCUCGCCGCCUGGGGAGUACGGCCGCAAGGCUAGAAACUUAAAGGAAUUGGCGGGGGAGCACCACAAGGCGUGAAGCUUGCGGUUC
rnacentral:rRNA from 1 species